AAUGAACGCUGGCGGCAUGCCUAACACAUGCAAGUCGAACGAAGGCUUCGGCCUUAGUGGCGCACGGGUGCGUAACGUGUGGGAAUCUGCCCUCAGGUUCGGAAUAACAGCGAGAAAUUGCUGCUAAUACCGGAUGAUAUCGCGAGAUCAAAGAUUUAUCGCCUGAGGAUGAGCCCGCGUAGGAUUAGCUAGUUGGUGUGGUAAAGGCGCACCAAGGCGACGAUCCUUAGCUGGUCUGAGAGGAUGAUCAGCCACACUGGGACUGAGACACGGCCCAGACUCCUACGGGAGGCAGCAGUGGGGAAUAUUGGACAAUGGGCGAAAGCCUGAUCCAGCAAUGCCGCGUGAGUGAUGAAGGCCUUAGGGUUGUAAAGCUCUUUUACCCGGGAUGAUAAUGACAGUACCGGGGGAAUAAGCUCCGGCUAACUCCGUGCCAGCCGCCGCGGUAA
rnacentral:rRNA from 1 species